CGUGGAAUGUCCUGAAAAAGAAAGAACCCACUGACAUCGACAUCGUCAUCGACGCCGCUGACGGUCAGCGUUAUACACUAACUCCAAACCCUCCCCAAAUUACAUCAUCUAGGAUAUAGUACGUGUUAAAUCGGACAUGUGUGGGCGGAGACAGCGGUGAGAAAUCCUCCAGCGCUCAAAACAGGCUCUUCUCCAUAUUCAGCUAGUUCGCUAGACACCGUUAUAGACAGGAAUAUGUAGAAAUGUCUGCUCGGAACACAGGAGUGAACUUAAAACGAUAAUAACUUACGACAGCUAGGGCACUUUUGAAAACGCUCCGGCUCGCUGGAAGUACACUUUACCUUGGAAUAUAAUAACUGAAAAGAAGCAGAAGGACGUCGUCAUGAAAAGACAACCGUGACAGUCGCGGAGAGACAGAAACGCAUCUGUUAUGUGAACGUUUAUUUAAAAAAAAUAAAUAAAUCUUUAUCCGUAUGCCAUUUUCAUUUAUUUAUUUGUUUGUUUAUUAUUAUUAUUAUUAUUAUUAUUAUUAUUACUCCCCUUAUAUCACCUUAUUCUUUUUGCAAAUUCCCAUUCUGUAGCUGUCUGGCGUGUCUCAUUUCCCGUUUUCUCUCCGUCCCCGUCUGCUGUAACGACCCUGCUUUUUUUUCUUUCUUUCUUUCUUUUCUUUCCUUUUUUUCUUUUUGUCGUCUGAAACCUUUUUCGAGAUCCUCCGAGACGACUUUAUAUCUGGUGAGGUAUUUAUGGAAAUGAAAAGCCCAGCACUUAUUGAGCUAUUUGGCAGUUUCAAUUAGACUUUUUUUUUCUUUUUUCCCCACUUUAAGUGUUAGUUUUAAUUGCUAAGAGCCUGUCUUGACAACAAGAAGCACAUUCACUGACAAACUCGGAUGAGUUUCGGGGGAACACGGGAAAGCAAUAAACGCAAUAAAUACACUCGAGCGCAGUAAAAUGCGUACUUUGUCUGUCUGAUUUAAUCGCACGAGCAUCGGCUUUGCCGCAGAAAACUGUUUUAUUUCUGUAAAAAGCGGCAGAGACGGAAGGUUCGUGGUAAAGCUCACUGCCAGUCUUUGUAUUUGCCAAAUUGAUGAGUCUAGACUGGGUUUUUCCUUAAAAUUACUUCUUGCCUCUUGGGACGUGUGAAGGGAACAAGCAGGUCGGGAGAUACUGGGCAUACUUCACUGCGUAAGCCAUUUUGGGACAUUUUAUUGGCUUUAAUGCCAAAUAGUCUAUUGGGUACGAGUUGAUUUUUUUAAAAAUGGUUUUAUUAUGAGGUAGUGGCUGUAAGGAUUGGACUUGUUUUUAGUAUUUAAUCCGUACAAUGAAUAGCCACAAAAACCAAACCACGUCUUUUGGUUUUAACUUCUACAGAGUUCUUCAUUUAUUAUGAAAGACUAAUUUUUUUUUUAAUUAUAACUGGAUGUAGUUAGGAGAGAGCCUUAAUCAGUUAACUGCUGCAGGCUUUGCAUUUCAAAAAAAACUUAAUUAUAAAGGACUCUUGGUAACUCAAACUAACUCCAACUAAACUUUUUACUUUUAAACUUUUAAUGUAACUUUUCGACUCGUCUGUAAUGACCGAGCCGGAGAGGACAAGUACAACGCGGACCGUUGCAGGAAGAAACGAUCGUGCCAUUUGGAUUGUUUCUCGUUCACAUAACCGUGUAGGGGAACGUGACGAGGAGCUCCUGAUCUUCCUCACGUUAUCAGUCAGGACGAGUGAAAACAGAUCACAGAUCACCUCUUAUUGCAGGCUCCGGAAGUUUUAAAGCGAGCAGGUUGACGCUUGUAAAAAUGAAUACGAGCCCUUAAUCCUUCACAGUGAUAUGUUAAAGAAAGUGAGGUUUUAGCGUUAGUAUUAUUAUUACAUUAUUUAAACCAAUCAGGAAUAAGAUUAAAACCAGUGGACCCAUGAGGAGUGGGAUAUAUAUAUAUAUAUAUAUAUAUAUAUAUUAGGCAGCAAGUGAACAGUCAGUUCUUGAAGUUGAUGUGUUGGAAGCAGGAAAAAUGGGCAAGUGUAAGGAUCUGAGCGACUUUGGGAAGAGCCAAAUUGUGAUGUCUAGACGACCGGGUCAGAGCAUGUCCAAAAUGGCAGGUCUUACAGGGUAUUCCCGGUAUGCAGUGGGUAGUACCUACUAAAAGUGGUCCAAGGAAGGAUAACCGGUGACCUGGCAACAGGGUCAUGAGCACCCAAGGCUCCCAGAAGAGCUACUGUAGCACAAAUUGCUGAAAAAGUUCAUGCUGGCUCUGAUCGAAAGCUGUCGGAACACACGGUCCUAAAUUCCCCAGAUCUCAAUCCGAUCGAGCGUCUGGACAAACAAGUCCCGUCCAUUGAGGGCCCACCUCGCAACUUACAGGACUUACAGGAUUCGCUCCUAACCAGAACCAGGUGCCAGAUCCCACAGCACACCUUCAGAAGUCUCGUGGAGUCCGUACCUCGACGGGUCCGAGCUGUUUCGGCGGCACCGACAAGACGGACGCGCUCAAUUUCAAGCAGGUGCUUGUAAUGUUAUGGAUGAUCGGUGUAUAACACCGUGCAGUGGAAUGCUCGAUUCUGAUUGGUCGGGACGUGCGCAUUAUUUCCAUAUAACCGCGCUGUAACACGAACGUGCUCCUUCUCGUAUCUUCUCGUUUCUAUAGUAACCGCUCAUACACAAGGCCUCGUACGGAAGACGCUCCACAUAAUCUACGACUAAUAAGAAACGGAUUUUAAGUAUAACCUUCCGUGCUCAGCUUUCAGAGCUGCUGUUGUAGAAACUUCACGAACCCCUUCCGACCAAUCACAGACAAGAAAUGAAAUUAAGUUAAGGAAGUUAAGGAAGAAUGAAAAUGAUGAGGCAUUCUAAAUCCUGGUCUUCUCAGAGUGCAGACAAGAAAGAAGCAGAGAAAGAAAGGUUUAUUUUAUGGUCGAGUGCAUGUUAAUUAAUUGGUCUUGGCUUUCGAUUACGGCUCCCGACACCAACCUGCCAUCUGUCCGCGGUAAUAAAACUGCAAAAUAGUACGUUUCCAUUGAAAUCUGCUCGUGCCGCUGAUUCGGAUUUUCAGGCUUUUUUUUGUUCCUUCUUCUUUAUAGAGUGCGAGACUCGUGAUGUGAUGAUACACGAUGUCCUGCGCGCUCGUUUUAGGCCGUGAUGAGGAGAGAUGUGACGGACGAUAGGCCUCGUCACAUUCGAGAGCUAAGAAGAGUCCUACUGUAAUGGAGUCAGAGACCUUGGGGUGAAAAAGAUUAAAGCUUCGGCUGCAUCACAUCUCACUGCUGCUAUGAGAACAUGAGCGUGUGUGUGUGUGUGUCAGAGAGAAACACAGGACUGAAUAUAAAAGACCCGCCAGACAGACAACACGGUGAUCUCUGCUCUGCUUUUACAUUUGUUUCGUUCAAAGCGAAUAAGAAAACAAACGAGCCUGACAAAACCGAACGAGUUGUGAGUCAGCGUUCGUUUCUUCUGACUCUAUCUUUCACGCGUCUCGGAGAAACGGCUCGACAAUUAUCUGCUUUUCCACCGCCAAACAAAAGCUCGUCAGUUGGGCGUUUGACUUUUUGGCAGGGAAGCAAAAUAGUCAUUAAUUCUGCCACAGAGCAAAUGGCUAUUUGCUGAUAUUAUGCGCGUGCAUUUAAAAAACUCGCUCAUUUGCAUGCACGGCGGCUAGUUCGAGCUCUCGAGCAACAUCAACCCCAAUAAAAUUUUAUUCCUCGGAUCGCUUUGAGCCGUGCCCCUUUACCCCGUGGCAACAUUAGCAUAAAUACACGGCCCAUUUCUCCAGCGUCUUCGUAUCGAACCUCCCACGUUAGGCCGUGUAACUCGCGGGUCGCGAUAAAUUGCUGAAAUGCAUUCUUAAUGCUGCUGUCUGACUGUAUUUCUUACUUUUUCUUAUUAGCGGUCUCGCCUUUACCGCCGAAAAAUGAAAUAAAUAAACAAACUUUUAAAUAGUUCUAAAGCCGUGUAAACUGAAACUCUGUAAGCUUUUCAUCAGGUCGAUCUAA